GCGAAAUGCGGGCUAGGCGCGGGGGUGAGACGGAUGGUGCGGGCGUUAAUCGGAAUGACUGGGCGGAAAGCGAGCGCAGACGGUUAUUUAAGCAAGGUGUGAAAGCCCCGGGCUCAACCUGGGAACUGCGUUUUGAACUGGGUAACUAGAGUGUGGCAGAGGGGGGUAGAAUUCCACGUGUAGCAGUGAAAUGCGUAGAGAUGUGGAGGAAUACCGAUGGCGAAGGCAGCCCCCUGGGAUAACACUGACGUUCAUGCUCGAAAGCGUGGGUAGCAAACAGGAUUAGAUACCCGGGUAGUC
rnacentral:rRNA from 1 species